UAAGAUUGAUCCUAGAGAGAGAAGCCGAAC
rnacentral:piRNA from 2 species